rnacentral:rRNA from 1 species
AUACGGAUGGUGCAAGCGUUAUUCGGAAUCACUGGGCAUAAAGAGCACGUAGGCGGCAGCAUAAGUCAGUGGUGAAAUCCCUCAGCUCAACUGGGGAACUGCCAUUGAUACUGUGCGGCUAGAAUGCGGGAGGGGCAGACGGAAUUCCAGGUGGAGCGGUGAAAUGCGUGGAUAUCUGGAGGAACGCCAGAGGCGAAAGCGGUCUGCUGGCCCGAAAUUGACGCUGAGGUGCGAAAGCUAGGGGAGCAAACGGGAUUAGAAACCCCAGUAGUCC